rnacentral:sRNA from 1 species
GUUUGCACUUGUCGGGGAAGGGUGAGAACCUUCGAUUAAGGUUCGACUCGAGCGAAAGCGAGAGAAUGUUGCCAACGGCAACGGCCCGUAGG